rnacentral:rRNA from 1 species
UACGUAGGGCGCAAGCGUUGUCCGGAAUUAUUGGGCGUAAAGAGCUCGUAGGCGGUCUGUUACGUCCGCUGUGAAAACCCAGGGCUUAACCCUGGGCUUGCAGUGGAUACGGGUAGACUAGAGGCAGGUAGGGGAGAAUGGAAUUCCCGGUGUAGCGGUGAAAUGCGCAGAUAUCGGGAGGAACACCAAUGGCGAAGGCAGCUCGCUGGGACGUUACUGACGCUGAGACGCGAAAGCGUGGGGAGCAAACAGG